GAUGAACGCUAGCUACAGGCUUAACACAUGCAAGUCGAGGGGCAUCAGGAAGAAAGCUUGCUUUCUUUGCUGGCGACCGGCGCACGGGUGAGUAACACGUAUCCAACCUGCCCUUUACUCGGGGAUAGCCUUUCGAAAGAAAGAUUAAUACCCGAUAGCAUAAUGAUUCCGCAUGGUUUCAUUAUUAAAGGAUUCCGGUAAAGGAUGGGGAUGCGUUCCAUUAGGUUGUUGGUGAGGUAACGGCUCACCAAGCCUUCGAUGGAUAGGGGUUCUGAGAGGAAGGUCCCCCACAUUGGAACUGAGACACGGUCCAAACUCCUACGGGAGGCAGCAGUGAGGAAUAUUGGUCAAUGGGCGCUAGCCUGAACCAGCCAAGUAGCGUGAAGGAUGAAGGCUCUAUGGGUCGUAAACUUCUUUUAUAUAAGAAUAAAGUGCAGUAUGUAUACUGUUUUGUAUGUAUUAUAUGAAUAAGGAUCGGCUAACUCCGUGCCAGCAGCCGCGGUAAUACGGAGGAUCCGAGCGUUAUCCGGAUUUAUUGGGUUUAAAGGGAGCGUAGGUGGACUGGUAAGUCAGUUGUGAAAGUUUGCGGCUCAACCGUAAAAUUGCAGUUGAUACUGUCAGUCUUGAGUACAGUAGAGGUGGGCGGAAUUCGUGGUGUAGCGGUGAAAUGCUUAGAUAUCACGAAGAACUCCGAUUGCGAAGGCAGCUCACUGGACUGCAACUGACACUGAUGCUCGAAAGUGUGGGUAUCAAACAGG
rnacentral:rRNA from 1 species